rnacentral:rRNA from 1 species
UACGUAGGGUGCAAGCGUUGUCCGGAAUUAUUGGGCGUAAAGGGUAGGUAGGUGGUCUCAUUUGUGUGGGGUGAAAGCCUUGGGCUUAACUCAAGAAGUGCCCCGCAAACGGUGAGACUGGAGUACUGGAGAGGCUAGCGGAAUUCCCGGUGUAGCGGUGAAAUGCGUAGAGAUCGGGAGGAACACCAGAGGCGAAGGCGGCUAGCUGGACAGUUACUGACACUCAACUACGAAAGCGUGGGGAGCAAACAGG